UACGAAGGGGGCUAGCGUUGUUCGGAUUUACUGGGCGUAAAGCGCACGUAGGCGGAUUGUUAAGUCAGGGGUGAAAUCCUGGAGCUCAACUCCAGAACUGCCUUUGAUACUGGCAAUCUAGAGUCCGGAAGAGGUGAGUGGAACUCCUAGUGUAGAGGUGGAAUUCGUAGAUAUUAGGAAGAACACCAGUGGCGAAGGCGGCUCACUGGUCCGGUACUGACGCUGAGGUGCGAAAGCGUGGGGGAGCAAACAGGG
rnacentral:rRNA from 1 species